rnacentral:rRNA from 1 species
GCUUACGGCCAUACCACCCUGAACACGCCCGAUCUCGUCUGAUCUCGGAAGCUAAGCAGGGUCGGGCCUGGUCAGUACUUGGAUGGGAGACGCCUGGGAAUACCAGGUGCUGUAAGCU